UGUAUAAGACAUUAAGACGCAAAACCUUCACAGUGAAGUUGUAGCACUUGUAGCUGCACUGUUCUAUGACAGUAGUUACCAUUAUURUUAUCAACAUUUAACGCUUUUCAAUUUUUUCUACCACGAAUCACAAGUGAUUCAGUUUCAGACUAUUCAGACUGCAGUCCAUAGAAUACACUAAUACAGAUUGCAGUCUGCAGACUGCAAUAGCCAGUAGCAGUACUUUAUCUCUUUUCUAUGUGCAAGUACUUCACUUCACUCUUCAAUCAUCGGCUCAUCGACUCAUCACUUCAUCAGUAUUCAGUAAUGAAAAUGAUUCUAUUCUGUGAUGAUUGUCAAGUGAUGACCGAUCAGCAUGUGAUAUAUUUAAGAAUUAGAAAUUGCUUAAUGCAUAUUUAAUUAUUUCGUUUUCUAUUUUAAUAUUGUUACCUAUUUUUAAUUUAAAAUUAACAUUUUUAAAWGGUUAUUAACUACAGUAUCAACUACYAAUCACAGAAUAAAAYUUCAUGAUAAGUAAUAACAUUGUAAUUCUUUUAAAAAUGCGUUGCUGUGUAGCUUCAUGUAUUACAAAAAAAUUGAAAAAUACAAAAAUAAGUUUGUUUGGCAUACCUAAAAAUGAUUCUUUAAGACUUGAAUGGGAGAAAGCCUUAGGAAUGCGUUUUAAAGCUAGUUUUAGAGUAUGUCGUGACCAUUUUAAAAAGGAAGAUAUAAUUGAUACCUGGGUAUCUGGCCAAGGAUUAACCAAAUACACAAUUUUUUUAAAAAAACCCAAACUCCGCAAAGGUACUAUUCCUAUUGCUUUGAAGUCAUUUUGCACUGUCUCAUCUGUAUCUCAAAAUUUUAAAUCAAGUGUCRCACAGUCAAAAGUACCAAAAGAAUAUGAUGUUUUGAUUUCAAACAUCAACAAUGACCAUUGCUAUUACUUAGGUAAUGGUGAUACAUCGGAAAACACAAAACCAUUGGAUGAUGAUACAGUUUUAUCAUUAUCUCCACCUGAAAGAAUAGAGGUAAAACAAAUUUCAUAUUUUAAAGAUAUUUUAAAUCAAAUAAAUACAAUAAAUAUUCCUAAACAAUGGUUUUAUGAUGAUAUCUACGUGACCAAAAAAAAAAAAAUGAUCAGUUUUCAUAAAUUGGGACCAUACAAAGAUGACCUUACUAGAAGUAUAGAGAAACAAUUGAUUUUGACUGAAGAUUUACAAUUAUUACUCUAUGUUUAUAAUAAGAAAAUCAAUAUAUCUGAGAUARGACAUAUUAUAAGUGAAGUGAAUACUACUGUUAAUACAUGUGAAAAAUUACUAAAUAUAAUUAAAAAAUUUGAUGAAACUCUAGUAUGUCAAGGUGCUUUACCCUCAAAUCAAAUUGAUGAUGUUAAUUCUUCAUAUGGUUAUCAAUUUGUUGAAUCCUAUGGAAUGUGGAGACAUAUAAACUGCUGCACAAUACUUACUAAGGAUAAUAGUAUAAAUAGUAAUAUUUGUGUAUGGUGUAAACGUUUGUGUUAUAUUAUUAAAAAUAGAAAGUUACGCUUGAAAAAUAAUCAAACAAUCCGGAUAUUCUUUUCUCCAAAUCAGCAAAAGAUAUUAAAGCAAAUAAAAGCUCAGAAGAAUUUAAUGAAAAAAAGAUAUUGCAGAGCAACAAAAAGAAUUAUUUCCCUUCAAAAUCAGUUAAACGACCUUAAAAAAAAACCUAAAGAAAUCUCUGAAACUAGAGUUGAAGAGAUUUCAGAUCAAGACAGUUUAAACAUGUCAAUGUGUCAAUCUGAUCUGAUUUAUGUAUCAGAUGAUUCAAUUUAAUUAUUUAAUUUUGCUACAGACUUUAACCAUUUCCCACACCAAGAUGCAUUAGAGCUACAAAUAGUUGUAUAAUUGGUGGUGCUAAAAUAUCAACUAAUUUAGUAACUGCUUUUGRUGUGAACAGCAUCAUAUUCUCUUUGAUAUGUGUAUUUCUUUACAAUUACUACGUGUUAACAUCAACAUUAUCAAAUGUAUUCAACCUAAUGGAAUGUGAUUUUAUUUUGUUAUACUAUAACAAUUCAGGAAAUACAUCUUAAAAUAUUGAAUGCCUAAGUUGAUGAUCAGAAUGAUAUUUAACGAUUUAUCUUGAAUUGUUAUAGAAUCAUACUUMACAAUAUAAAAUUCACGAAAGAAGAAUUUGAUAGACUUACAAAAUUGUGCGAUCAUU